rnacentral:lncRNA from 1 species
UCCAAAGAAGGCGCUCUGAAAGGGGAGGCUAUGGUUAGAGCUCAGUUUCAAGAAGAUCCAUACGGAUGCGUUGGUUCGCUUUGGCGUAAGAAGCUGAAGCGUGACCCUUUCCACAGGACUAUACCUUACCCUAAUGGAUGCCCUGAGAUUAGAGGAUUGUUCAGGUACUGUGGUUCAGCUCCUUUUCCUGGCUCUCUCCCAUGGGACUCAUCUGGGUCAAUCCUAUAACUAGACUUUGCUUAGAGGAACAGAUACUUGGUCAAGAGCUUUUUUUUUUUUUGUUUACUUUCAUUAAUGUAAAAGAGAAACUUCACAAUCUUUGUAUUGAGAGAGAACUUUAAACUGUAUUAAAAUGCUAUUUACCUGGAAUAUAUUACAAGAUCUCUAUAUUUAUAUAAAAACAAGCUUUUCAUCCUCCAUGUUCAUCAAUCAAAGGAAACAAGAACACAAAUGAAGAAGAAGUAAAAAGAAUGGUAAGAGAGUAAUUAUUACUAAUGCAACAACUGGAGGUUCUGUCUCAAAACGGUUUUGUUGUUCUAAUUGUUUGGUUUGGAGGAAGAAGACGAUGACUUCCUGUUUUUCGCAAAGUCAACCAAGUCUUUGAAAAGGAUAUCCUCUGGUUUGUCAUCUUUCUUUGGCGGUGUAGCAGCAGCAGUAGCAGAGCCGGUUGGAUUCAGAGAAAGAUUCCGGGAUUGUCCCACGAGAUCCUCAUAAGAGGAAUCAGAGCCACUGCUUGUGCGUUGAGGAACAUUAUUAUGCUGGGAGUAUUGUUGCCUCUGGCUGAUUCUAACGGACAUUGGUGGUGGAAAAGCCCUGGUUCCUUCAGGAUCCCAUGGAGCACGAGGCAACUGCUCAGUUUGGUCAUAAACUGGUUUGGUGAACAAAGCUUGCUCAGGAGAUUUGCUCCGGGGAGCUGGAUCGUCGAAAACAGGAGCAGAAGCGUCUCGGUCUGAUGAAUGGGUACUACUCGGAGGCUUUGAAGUCUCUGAGGCUCCUUGAGGUGUGUAGACAUCACCACUGAGGAAGUCCAUAGCACCAGAUUCAACAUGUACUGGCCUCAUUGUAGGUGGUGGUGGAGGAAGAACAGGGUUGAAACUCACUCGUGCACUCUCUCUUUUUGACCUGCAGAGUUGAGUUUGAUGAAGUUUUGGGAUGCAAUUGAAAUGAGCAAAGGAUGGUCAUUAGCAUUUACCUGUGAGAUAGCUGAGAAAAAUCAUCAUCUGACUCAUCAUCUUCGUCAUGGUUGAUGCUAACAAGCGGUAUAGUAGGAGCUGUUGCAGGAACAGAUUUUCCCUUUGCCUUAUCAUCAUGUUGCUGAAGAACACGCUGCAGAUUGUCGUUCAAUGCCAAUCCUUGACACAGAAGUUCCUCAUCUCUGCAAAAAAGGAAGGAGACUCUCUCUCUCAACAUUAGCGAAUUCUAUCAAAUUUAGUAACGAACAGGAGGGUGAAGGAGAAAGCAAACGAAUCCUUACGAUGUAGUGUUGACCAGAGUCAUUACACGUCUCUGAUAAGUACGGCAUUGCUCUACCAAAUCAACUAUAAGCUCUUCCUUUAAACCCUGUCACAACAGAAACAGCAGUGAGUGUUUCAAAUCAAAUCAAACAACAGAGACACCAUGUCUAAUCAUGUAAUAAUAUCUUACCUCAGGAUGGCUUGGAUCAAGAGCCCCAAGCAUGUCCGUCAAAAUAUCAACUGAUCCCUGAGCACUUUGAAUCUCUUCCAAACUAGAAAAAACAAAUACACUUAAAAGUCUACAACAAGCUUGAGACAACACCGUUCAGCGAUGGGGUUUCCGGAAUCAAGAUUCAGAUACGUGGGAACGCCAGCUUCGCUUGAGUCCAAAGAAGGCGCUCUGAAAGGGGAGGCUAUGGUUAGAGCUCAGUUUCAAGAAGAUCCAUACGGAUGCGUUGGUUCGCUUUGGCGUAAGAAGCUGAAGCGUGACCCUUUCCACAGGACUAUACCUUACCCUAAUGGAUGCCCUGAGAUUAGAGGAUUGUUCAGGUACUGUGGUUCAGCUCCUUUUCCUGGCUCUCUCCCAUGGGACUCAUCUGGGUCAAUCCUAUAACUAGACUUUGCUUAGAGGAAC